CCUACGGGUGGCAGCAGUGGGGAAUAUUGGACAAUGGGCGAAAGCCUGAUCCAGCCAUGCCGCGUGUGUGAAGAAGGCCUUCGGGUUGUAAAGCACUUUCAGUGGGGAAGAAAGCCUGGGGGCUAAUACCCUCGAGGAAGGACAUCACCCACAGAAGAAGCACCGGCUAACUCCGUGCCAGCAGCCGCGGUAAUACGGAGGGUGCGAGCGUUAAUCGGAAUUACUGGGCGUAAAGCGCGCGUAGGCGGUCUGAUAAGCCGGUUGUGAAAGCCCCGGGCUCAACCUGGGAACGGCAUCCGGAACUGUCAGGCUAGAGUGCAGGAGAGGAAGGUAGAAUUCCCGGUGUAGCGGUGAAAUGCGUAGAGAUCGGGAGGAAUACCAGUGGCGAAGGCGGCCUUCUGGACUGACACUGACGCUGAGGUGCGAAAGCGUGGGUAGCAAACAGGAUUAGAUACCCCAGUAGUC
rnacentral:rRNA from 1 species